rnacentral:rRNA from 1 species
UACGUAGGGUGCUAGCGUUGUUCGGAAUUAUUGGGCGUAAAGCGCGUGCAGGUGGUUAUGCAAGUUAGAUGUGAAAGCCCUGGGCUCAACCGAGGAAGUGCAUCUAAAACUACAUAGCUGGAGGAUGGCAGAGGGAAAUGGAAUUCCUAGUGUAGAGGUGAAAUUCGUAGAUAUUAGGAGGAAUACCGGUGGCGAAGGCGGUUUCCUGGACCAUUCCUGACACUGAGACGCGAAAGCGUGGGUAGCAAACAGG